GGGUGGACGCCGGAGUUGGAGAGCCGGGGCGGACUGUAAAUCCGUUGGCAUACGCCUUAGGGGGUUCGAAUCCCCUCGCCACCCACCA
rnacentral:tRNA from 1 species